AGGUUUACCUGGCAGGGGUGAUUCCCUGAUCACGAAGGUGGUUUCCCCAGGGCGAGGCUUAUCCAUUGCACUCCGGAUGGGCUGACCCUGCGAUUUCCCCAAAUGUGGGAAACAAUUAGGUACAACUGGUAC
rnacentral:snRNA from 1 species